UCAAGUAAUGAAGUGCACAUGGUGGAUGCCUUGGCAGUCAGAGGCGAUGAAAGACGUGAUAGCCUGCGAUAAGCGUCGGUGAGGUGGCAAUAUCCUGUGACCCGGCGAUUUCUGAAUGGGGAAACCCAGCCAACAUAAGUUGGCUAUCCUAACCUUUGGUUAGGAGGCAAACCGGGAGAAGUGAAACAUCUCAGUACCCCGAGGAAAAGACAUCAAUAGAGAUUCCCCAAGUAGCGGCGAGCGAACGGGGAGUAGCCGAUCAAACUUGUAGUAGCAAAAUGGCGUGGGAAAGCCAACCAUAGUAGGUGAUAGUCCUGUAUGCGAAACUGCAAAUGCGACACAUUAAGUAGGGCGAGACACGUGAAAUCUUGUCUGAAGAUGGGGGGACCAUCCUCCAAGGCUAAAUACUCCUGACUGACCGAUAGUGAACCAGUACCGUGAGGGAAAGGCGAAAAGAACCCCUGUUAGGGGAGUGAAAUAGAACCUGAAACCGUGUGCAUACAAGCAGUCGGAGCCCACUUGUUGGGUGACGGCGUACCUUUUGUAUAAUGGGUCAGCGACUUAUAUUCUGUAGCAAGGUUAACCGUUUAGGGGAGCCGUAGGGAAACCGAGUCUUAAUAGGGCGAAUGAGUUGCAGGGUAUAGACCCGAAACCGAGUGAUCUAUCCAUGAGCAGGUUGAAAGUGCCGUAACAGGCACCGGAGGACCGAACCCACUGUCGUUGAAAAGCCAGGGGAUGACUUGUGGAUAGGGGUGAAAGGCUAAUCAAACUCGGUGAUAGCUGGUUCUCCCCGAAAGCUAUUUAGGUAGCGCCUCGGACGAAUACCAUUGGGGGUAGAGCACUGUUUCGGCUAGGGGGUCAUCCCGACUUACCAAACCGAUGCAAACUCCGAAUACCGAUGAGUACUAUCCGGGAGACAGACGGCGGGUGCUAACGUCCGUCGUCAAGAGGGAAACAACCCAGACCGCCAGCUAAGGCCCCAAAUUCCUAGUUAAGUGGGAAACGAUGUGGGAAGGCACAGACAGCUAGGAUGUUGGCUUAGAAGCAGCCAUCAUUUAAAGAAAGCGUAAUAGCUCACUAGUCGAGUCGGCCUGCGCGGAAGAUGUAACGGGGCUCAAACUAGGAGCCGAAGCUGCGGAUUUAAUUGUUUCAAUUAAGUGGUAGGGGAGCGUUGUGUAAGCCUGUGAAGGUGUAUCGUAAGGUAUGCUGGAGGUAUCACAAGAGCGAAUGCUGACGUGAGUAACGACAAAACGGGUGAAAAGCCCGUUCGCCGAAAGACCAAGGGUUCCAGUCCAACGUUAAUCGGGGCUGGGUGAGUCGACCCCUAAGGCGAGGCCGAAAGGCGUAGUCGAUGGGAAAUUGGUUAAUAUUCCAAUACUUGUUUAUGAUGCGAUGGAGGGACGGAGAAGGUUAUGUCAGCCUGGCGUUGGUUGUCCAGGUGAAAGGAUGUAGGUAGGCUUGGUAGGCAAAUCCGCCAAGCUAUUACUGAGAUCUGAUAGCAAGCCAGCUUGCUGGCGAAGUGGCAAAUACCCUGCUUCCAGGAAAAGCUUCUAAGCGAUAGUCAUAAACAAAUCGUACCCGAAACCGACACAGGUGGUCAGGUAGAGAAUACUAAGGCGCUUGAGAGAACUCUGCUGAAGGAACUAGGCAAAAUGGUACCGUAACUUCGGGAGAAGGUACGCUGCCGACGGUGAUUAAACUUGCUUUAUGAGCUGUUGGCAGUCGCAGAUACCAGGCUGCUGCAACUGUUUAUUAAAAACACAGCACUCUGCAAACACGAAAGUGGACGUAUAGGGUGUGAUGCCUGCCCGGUGCUGGAAGGUUAAUUGAUGGGGUUAGCGUAUGCGAAGCUCUUGAUCGAAGCCCCAGUAAACGGCGGCCGUAACUAUAACGGUCCUAAGGUAGCGAAAUUCCUUGUCGGGUAAGUUCCGACCUGCACGAAUGGCAUAAUGAUGGCAGCGCUGUCUCCAGCAGAGACUCAGUGAAAUCGAAAUCGCAGUGAAGAUGCUGUGUACCCGCGGCUAGACGGAAAGACCCCGUGAACCUUUACUACAGCUUUACAUUGAACUUUGACCUAAUUGUGUAGGAUAGGUGGGAGGCUUUGAAGUGUGAACGCCAGUUUGCAUGGAGCCAUCCUUGAAAAUACCACCCUGGUUAUGUUGGGGUUCUAACUUAGAUACACAAUAUCAAGGACAAUGUAUGGUGGGUAGUUUGACUGGGCGGUCUCCUCCUAAAGAGUAA
rnacentral:rRNA from 1 species